rnacentral:rRNA from 1 species
AUAGCUCAAAUUUAAAAUCUGGUCCACUUGUGGAUCCGAAUUGUAGUCUAUAGAGGUGCCUUCUUGAAAACGGCGUGCGCACAAGUGUCCUGGAAUGGACCAUCACAGAGGGUGAGAAUCCCGUUUGGGCGCACGUUGUGUUCAUCUACGAGGCACUCUCGAAGAGUCGAGUUGUUUGGGAAUGCAGCUCAAAUUGGGUGGUAAACUUCAUCCAAGGCUAAAUAUUGGCAAGAGACCGAUAGCGAA